rnacentral:rRNA from 1 species
UUAGACUNGAGUGCAGAAGGGGAGAGUGGAAUUCCAUGUGUAGCGGUGAAAUGCGUAGAUAUAUGGAGGNACACCGGUGGCGAAAGCGGCUNUCUGGUCUGUCACUGACGCUGAGGCUCGAAAGCGUGGGUAGCGAACAGGAUUAGAUACCCUGGUAGUCCACGCCGUAAACGCUGAGUGCUAGGUGUUAGGUCCUUUCCGGGACUUAGUGCCGACGCUAACGCAUUAAGCACUCCGCCUGGGGAGUACGACCGCAAGGUUGAAACUCAAAGGAAUUGACGGGGGCCCGCACAAGCGGUGGAGCAUGUGGUUUAAUUCGAAGCAACGCGAAGAACCUUACCAGGUCUUGACAUCCCGAUGCCCGCUCUAGAGAUAGAGUUUUUCUUCGGAACAUCGGAGACAGGUGGUGCAUGGUUGUCGUCAGCUCGUGUCGUGAGAUGUUGGGUUAAGUCCCGCAACGAGCGCAACCCUUAUUGUUAGUUGCCCUCAUUAAGUUGGGCACUCUAGCGAGACUGCCGGUAAUAAACCGGAGGAAGGUGGGGAUGACGUCAAAUCAUCAUGCCCCUUAUGACCUGGGCUACACACGUGCUACAAUGGUUGGUACAACGAGUCGCAAGCCGGUGACGGCAAGCUAAUCUCUGAAAGCCAAUCUCAGUUCGGAUUGUAGGCUGCAACUCGCCUACAUGAAGUCGGAAUC